GGACUACCAGGGUAUCUAAUCCUGUUUGCUCCCCACGCUUUCGCGUCUCAGCGUCAAUGUCCGUCCAGAUGGCCGCCUUCGCCACUGGUGUUCCACCCGAUAUCUACGAAUUUCACCUCUACACCGGGUAUUCCGCCAUCCUCUCCGGCAUUCAAGCCACGUAGUAUCGCGCGCACUUCGUCGGUUGAGCCGACGGAUUUCACACGCGACUGGCGCGGCCGCCUACACGCGCUUUACGCCCAAUAAUUCCGAACAACGCUUGCACCCUCUGUAUUACCGCGGCUGCUGGCAC
rnacentral:rRNA from 1 species